GAUGAACGCUGGCGGCGUGCCUAAUACAUGCAAGUCGAGCGAACGGACGAGAAGCUUGCUUCUCUGAUGUUAGCGGCGGACGGGUGAGUAACACGUGGAUAACCUACCUAUAAGACUGGGAUAACUUCGGGAAACCGGAGCUAAUACCGGAUAAUAUUUUGAACCGCAUGGUUCAAAAGUGAAAGACGGUCUUGCUGUCACUUAUAGAUGGAUCCGCGCUGCAUUAGCUAGUUGGUAAGGUAACGGCUUACCAAGGCAACGAUGCAUAGCCGACCUGAGAGCGUGAUCAGCCACACUGGAACUGAGACACGAUCCAGACUCCUACGGGAGGGAGCAAUAGGGAAUCUUCCGCGACGCGCGAAAGCCUGACGGAGCAACGCCGCGUGAGUGAUGAAGGUCUUCGGAUCGUAAAACUCUGUUAUUAGGGAAGAACAUAUGUGUAAGUAACUGUGCACAUCUUGACGGUACCUAAUCAGAAAGCCACGGCUAACUACGUG
rnacentral:rRNA from 1 species